rnacentral:misc_RNA from 1 species
GAUGAAGAACGCAGCGAAAUGCGAUAAGUAGUGUGAAUUGCAGAAUUCAGUGAAUCAUCGAAUCUUUGAACGCACAUUGCGCCCUUUGGUAUUCCAAAGGGCAUGCCUGUUCGAGCGUCAUUUGUACCCUCAAGCUUUGCUUGGUGUUGGGCGUCUUGUCUCUAGCUUUGCUGGAGACUCGCCUUAAAGUAAUUGGCAGCCGGCGUAUUGAUUUCGGAGCGCAGUACAUCUCGCGCUUUGCACUCAUAACGACGACGUCCAAAAGUACAUUUUUACACUCUUGACCUCGGAUCAGGUAGGGAUACCCGCUGAACUUAAGCAUAUCAAUAAGCGGAGGA